GACGAACGCUGGCGGCGUGCUUAACACAUGCAAGUCGAACGGAAAGGCCCUGCUUUUGUGGGGUGCUCGAGUGGCGAACGGGUGAGUAACACGUGAGUAACCUGCCCUUGACUUUGGGAUAACUUCAGGAAACUGGGGCUAAUACCGGAUAGGAGCUCCUGCUGCAUGGUGGGGGUUGGAAAGUUUCGGCGGUUGGGGAUGGACUCGCGGCUUAUCAGCUUGUUGGUGGGGUAGUGGCUUACCAAGGCUUUGACGGGUAGCCGGCCUGAGAGGGUGACCGGCGACAUUGGGACUGAGAUACGGCCCAGACUCCAACGGGAGGCAGCAGUGGGGAAUAUUGCACAAUGGGCGGAAGCCUGAUGAAGAAACGCCGCGUGCGGGAUGACGGCCUUCGGGCUGUAAACCGCUUUAGCCUGUGACGAAGCGUGAGUGACGGUAAUGGGUAAAGAGGCACCGGCUAACUACGUG
rnacentral:rRNA from 1 species